rnacentral:rRNA from 1 species
GACGAACGCUGGCGGCGUGCCUAAUACAUGCAAGUAGAACGCACAGUUUAUACCGUAGCUUGCUACACCAUAGACUGUGAGUUGCGAACGGGUGAGUAACGCGUAGGUAACCUGCCUGGUAGCGGGGGAUAACUAUUGGAAACGAUAGCUAAUACCGCAUAAUAUUAAUUAUUGCAUGAUAAUUGAUUGAAAGGUGCAAUUGCACCACUACCAGAUGGACCUGCGUUGUAUUAGCUAGUAGGUGAGGUAACGGCUCACCUAGGCGACGAUACAUAGCCGACCUGAGAGGGUGAUCGGCCACACUGGGACUGAGACACGGCCCAGACUCCUACGGGAGGCAGCAGUAGGGAAUCUUCGGCAAUGGACGAAAGUCUGACCGAGCAACGCCGCGUGAGUGAAGAAGGUUUUCGGAUCGUAAAGCUCUGUUGUAAGAGAAGAACGGGUGUGAGAGUGGAAAGUUCACACUGUGACGGUAUCUUACCAGAAAGGGACGGCUAACUACGUGCCAGCAGCCGCGGUAAUACGUAGGUCCCGAGCGUUGUCCGGAUUUAUUGGGCGUAAAGCGAGCGCAGGCGGUUAGAUAAGUCUGAAGUUAAAGGCUGUGGCUUAACCAUAGUACGCUUUGGAAACUGUUUAACUUGAGUGCAGAAGGGGAGAGUGGAAUUCCAUGUGUAGCGGUGAAAUGCGUAGAUAUAUGGAGGAACACCGGUGGCGAAAGCGGCUCUCUGGUCUGUAACUGACGCUGAGGCUCGAAAGCGUGGGGGAGCGAACAGG